rnacentral:rRNA from 1 species
GGGUUGUGAGGUUAAGCGACUAAGCGUACACGGUGGAUGCCCUGGCAGUCAGAGGCGAUGAAGGACGUGCUAAUCUGCGAUAAGCGUCGGUAAGGUGAUAUGAACCGUUAUAACCGGCGAUUUCCGAAUGGGGAAACCCAGUGUGUUUCGACACACUAUCAUUAACUGAAUCCAUAGGUUAAUGAGGCGAACCGGGGGAACUGAAACAUCUAAGUACCCCGAGGAAAAGAAAUCAACCGAGAUUCCCCCAGUAGCGGCGAGCGAACGGGGAGCAGCCCAGAGCCUGAAUCAGUGUGUGUGUUAGUGGAAGCGUCUGGAAAGGCGCGCGAUACAGGGUGACAGUCCCGUACACAAAAAU